rnacentral:rRNA from 1 species
AAGGCUUACGGUGGAUACCUAGGCACCCAGAGACGAGGAAGGGCGUAGUAAGCGACGAAAUGCUUCGGGGAGUUGAAAAUAAGCGUAGAUCCGGAGAUUCCCGAAUAGGUUAACCUUUUGAACUGCUGCUGAAUCCAUGGGCAGGCAAGAGACA